UACAGAGGGGGCGAGCGUUAAUCGGGAUUACUGGGCGUAAAGCGCACGUGGGCGGCUUGCUAUGUCGGGUGUGAAAUCCCCGGGCUCAACCUGGGAACUGCAUCCGAAACUGCCUUGCUCGAGUAUGGGAGAGGGAAGUGGAAUUUCCGGUGUAGCGGUGAAAUGCGUAGAUAUCGGAAGGAACAUCAGUGGCGAAGGCGACUUCCUGGACCAAUACUGACGCUCAGGUGCGAAAGCGUGGGGAGCAAACAGG
rnacentral:rRNA from 1 species